rnacentral:rRNA from 1 species
AGAAUCAACGCUGGCGGCGUGCCUAACACAUGCAAGUCGAACGAGAAAGUGGAGCAAUCCAUGAGUAAAGUGGCGCACGGGUGAGUAACACGUGACUAACCUACCCUUGAGUGGGGGAUAACUGAGGGAAACCUUAGCUAAUACCGCAUAAUACCCACGGGUCAAAGGAGCAAUUCGCUCGAGGAGGGGGUCGCGGCCGAUUAGUUAGUUGGCGGGGUAAUGGCCCACCAAGACGAUGAUCGGU